AAAGAUAACGAGAGGUAGAGUACAAGAUAGACAAAAGCAUGCGAAUUACUGAAGCAUAAGAUUCCAACAUAUCUAAGUUCUCUCAUAGACAGCUUCUUCCUUCUAUCAAGCAUUACUUCUGGAAUUCAAGGAUUGUGUAGAAAUGGUCCGAAUAGAAUGCUUUGAAGUUGGAGAAUCCGACCGAGAGCCCUAUCUGCCGGAACUCUUCCUCGGUGCGUCCUCUCCCCUGAACUCGGUAAAUGGUCAUGACAAAGAUGUCAUUCUCCAGCAGGGCUCGAGUUCUCUGGCUGUUGUCAGUCUCUUCUGGGAGCACUGGCUCGCAAGCAAUCACCUUCCCCUUUUCUGGCAGGGCUUUGUAGCAGUUCUUCAGUAUCAGCAUGCACUCCUCAUCAGUCCAUGUCAUCAGUACCCACUGCAUGGAAUAACCGAAAACAAGCAUGAAUUCAAGCAUCUAAUUUAGCAGUAAGUUAUGUUGCUACGUGAACGGCUGAUCACUUUGCCCGGGUGAUACCAGCCAUAAAAAAAUAUAAAUAAUGAAUAUAAAGAGGAAAGAAAGUGUUGCGGCCAAUCCCCGAGUGUGCCUGAGUCUGGCGAUGAGCAACCUGCAAAACAAAUCCACACUGACCGGAGUUAUGUCCGACGGAGACCCUCUGAUGUUUAAGUCAGCAGAGAGUGAUGAACAAGAUAGUUGAAAGUAGAUGUCAACAAUAUAUUAGCCCAAAAGUGUCUUAUCCCCGCUGUUCUCUUAGCUUCUCUUUAUAUAGGCAAUCUGGGUGUAAUUGUCCGUGACGGUCAGGCACGUGGGGUCCUGCUUAUUCCGGCAUUAUAUAUGAUCAUGAGGUGGACAGCCCAUCAAUAAUCAUCAUAAGUAGCCGUUACGCGCUAUUUGUGCUGGUGGUUUCUGAUAUACCGACUGUGCCGGUGAUGUGGAUGCACCGACUGUAUGUCGGUGCUUGUAAUGUGCCGACUGACCAUCGGUUUAUGAUUUUGAUAUUUCGAUUGGUCAUCAGUUAUGUUGAUUGAGUUGUUAUGGUUGACUUAGAAUCGUCAGGAAAGUCGAUUGGAAACUACCAACUGUUUGUUGGUGUACUGACUGAUAGUUGGAUGCUUGUGUUCAUGGCGCCGAUAGAAAGUGGGAUGAUGAGCCUUGUAAAUAUUGUGUUGAAACAGAACUCGUUCGACGGUCUGAUUUUGACGGUUCAUCACUAGAUAUUGACACAUAGUCGGGAGACCGACUGUGAAUCGGGGGGAGCAGGUCCGGUUGUUCCAACAGUUGUCCCCCACUCCCAAGUCCAAGGUGGCUUGACACGUGGCUUGACAUGUGACUUGACACGUUGGACGAAGGGAGUCACCACAUGUCAUUUCGGAUCCCGAUUGUAUGGUCGUUUCAGCUACAGGCAUUAAUGAUCCCCUCGAAAAUUGAAAGAUCUCCAGCUGUUUUGUUGUUUCGAUGAUUGCGCAAUCAUCAUCUGAGACAAUCUCGAUUUCAAUGAGCAUAUCUCAGCUGUUGACGGGUUAUAUAUAAGGGUUGUCUUCCUCCUCUUAUCGAGUUCUCUACUACGACUGAGAAUUUGAGAGUGCCUUCCGUUGGUUUCGACUAUUGAAUGUUCCAUUGGAGGUUUCCAGCAGGUGUUGAGAGCAUCAGGGAAGAAUUGUCUUCUUCCCCAUGUUUUCAUGAUCUCCAGCUCCUUUAGUUUUCAGAUUAUGCCUUCCUCCUUCUUUCCACUUUUCCUCCACCUCUUCUUUUCUGCCAUUAUCAAUGGCAAGUAGUAGUAGGAAGGGUAAGAAUAAGGUUAGGAUAGAUGAGGAUAGAUCUAGUCUUGAGCCCUCUCGGGAUAGUCGACCGGCUGGUUCGGUUAGCGAUUCCCUUCUGGGUUCGGCAGUAAAGGCUUCCUCUAUCACCGAAUCCACAGUCAUCCGCCUCCAAUACAGUUUCGGCUGCAUGCUCCCAGUCCGAAUGAUCGGGUGAUUUUCCCUCCUCCGGAUCAAGUUGCUUUACAUAUAGAGAACCAUAGGGCUGGCCUUCCUUUCCUGAUUCCAGACUUUGUUCGGAAUGUUUUAGACAAUUACCGACUCUGUCCAACCCAACUUGUGCCGAAUUCCAUUCGGCUUCUUAUUAGUUUUGCCCUAUUGUGCCAUAUGCUUCCGACCAUUCCUCGGAUUUUUCUUUUCCGACCCUUCUUCGUCCUUCGCCCCCAUGCUAAGGCUGAGGGCUGGUGGUUCUUCAGCCUGAGAAAGGAUUUGUCCUUCAUUACCAACCUUCCUUCUUCCAUCCAUAAUUGGAAGAUCCAAUUCUUCUUUAUUUCUUCUUUUUUGCCUUGGGGCUUUCCUUCCACCUGGAGGAAUCCGAGGACGAGCCCAAAUGAGAACAGUCAAGUCGAAGCCACCGAUUGAGAAGACUUCCUCCGACUGAAGGACAUAAAAGUCUCUCAACAACGAGAGCUGUUGAUGAAGCAGGCUCUUCAUGAUGCUGGACUUAGUUCGGCACUUACCGUAGGUAUAGCAUAGUCAAUUUUUCAUUUUCAUUUUUUUUAAUCUAAUUUCAAAUUUGUAACUAAGUCGUUAUUUUCUACUUGCAACUAUGCGACCUUCGACGUGACCUUCGGCAGAUGAGGUCCGACGAUUCGCCGCCAAGAAGAGGCUCGCUGCCAGUGCGGAUCCCUCUCAUGCGUUGAAGAAGGUUCAGCCCGACACAUCGUCGGUGGUCAUCCUUGAAGCCGUCGCCGAAGCGAUUGUUGCAUUGUUCGCUCUAACAGCUUUACCACUAGUCGAAGUUCACUCGCCGAUUAGGCAACCAAGUGAUGAAGUUGUUGUCAUGGUUGCCGAUCCAGAGUUGGACAGCAGGGGGCUGAUGGUAUCUCGGGUGCCACCCAUGCUCGAACCAGAGCCGGUCAACAUAGAGCCGACCAUAUCUCGGGUGCCACCUACAUUUGAAUGGAUGGCGAUUCUCGAAUAUCAAUCAUCCGCACAGGAACGCGAGAAGGCACUAGAAGUUUCAACUAACGAUGGGGCUCCAAUGAACUUUACGGAGCUCUUCGACAUUCGGAUUCCCACUGAUGAGUUGGCUUUGGCAAACCCAAAGUUGGCUAAGUGGCUUUUGGAGGCUGCACUUCUUCUGAUUGAUAGAGAGAAUAAGAAGAGUCGGACCAUGUUUGACAUGUUCUCGUCAUAUUACCCGACGAUCCUCAGCAUAAGUUGGUACUCCGUCCACCUGCCUUUCUUAUACUUGCUCUCUUUUUUUUUUAACUCUUCUAUUCUUCUUUUCAGCUAGUGCAUGACAUAUCGGCACUAGAAAGAGGAUAUAGGACGAUCGCAGACCUCUGUCGAUCAUGGGCCGAUAGGAUUGCAGGCGCAAACGCCGACAAAGCUAAUUGGGAUCGAACGUCUUCAAGCGGCAACUGAAUGGGAGAAAUAUCAGAAGGAGAUCUCCCACAUGAAAACUGAGUUGGAGUCGACUAAAGCUGAGUUAGAAACGGCUCAAUAGUCGGUCGAGUCCCAAAAGGAGCGAAUUAAGAGGAAGAAGCACAUGAUCAGUCGGCUCUGGAGGGAACGUGAUGGUUGUAUCCAAGAAUUGGAGGAAGAAUGGAAGAUGCAUCGGGCUACCGAAGCUCGAUUGGCACUGGUCGAUUUAGAGUUGGCCUCUGCUAAGGAGGAGGCGAAGUCGGCUCAGGAGGCUCUCAGUCGGGCGAAGGAGCAGGCUGUCAAGGAUUACAAGAAGUCUGAAAACUUCAAAAAUGAAAUCCUCGAGGGUGGCAAUACGGCUUACUAGGUUGGGUAUGAAGAUGACAAAGAUCCUGUCAGGAAUUUUUACCCGAACCUGGAUCUGAGCAGCAUCACUAUCCUGGCGGGACAGUGGAGCCGAGCGACGAAGCGACUGCUUCGACUGAAGAAGCCGUACCUGCAUCGAUCGAAGUAGAGCCGAUUACUGUCGAAGGCCAGGAGAUUGGAGCUGCAGCGGUGACCAGUGCAGCAGCUAAGGAGAUCAAGCAGCAAUCGGCGUAGAUGUCAUAGGUCUUUAUUUUUGCUAUCGGACCGUAAUCCAACUUUUCUUUUUGUAACCGGAUCUUAGUCUGAUUUUGUAACCCUCUGUUGAUAAACGAAUGAAAAUAAAUUUUUUCAAGUAUUGAACUUCUUGAAUGUGUCAUUUGUCGUAGAUAAUCGUUACCAACGUAGACAAAUAUCAAUAAGCAGCCGAUUAUCAAUUGAUAUGCCAACUAAUAAUCAAUAGUUAAAGUAGUAGGAUUUGCCUGUUAGUCGGAUAUUAGCCAAUUAAACUUUAGGAAUGAAAUUUUUUAAGUAUUUGACAUACGGGAGCUAGCCGAAUAUCCUUCGACCAAUCAGAGUCAAGUCGGUAUAUUUUUUGCUCGACCGAAGUCGAAUCGACUUAUUAUUCUGCUCAACUGUAGUUGAGUCAGCAUAUAUAGUUGUCCACCUGAUGUCGAUAUGUAAAGUCAACCGAUCGGAGUCGGCGUAUAUAGUCAUCCGACCGGAAUUGAGUCGGUAUGUAUAUUGGUUGAUUAGUCAUUAGUCAGAUAUCAUAUAUCCAGUUGAAAAUUUGUUGAAAAUCGAUCAUAUCAUUUCAAAUAUGUUGUACAUGUGGACAAAUUCAUUGAUAGUACAUUCGAAGGUUAUCUGCAUUCUAUGUUUAAAGGACAGUCAUUCCAUCGAGGGUCUUUAGUCGGUAUGCGUCUGGACGAAGUAUUUCGGUCAUCCUAUAAGAUCCUUCCCAGUUUGGAGAUAGUUUUUCUUGAUCCAAGAAUUUUGAAACUUCUACUUUUCUCGGGACCAAGUCUCCAGAAUGAAAAACCUUCGAUUUGACCCUUGUGUUGUAAUAUCGGACCACUUUUGGUCCGUAUGCAGCCAUUCUUAUUUGAGCUUGCUGCCAAACCUUCGAGAGUAAGUCCAAGUCGGCUCUUCGACAGUCGGACUUGCUUGGCUCUGCAUACUGCUCGAUCCUCAUUGAUGGCAGUCCGAUCUUCAAUAGGAUCACUGCUUCUGUUCCAUAUGUAAGGUUGAAUAGUGACUCUCCUAUUGCAAUGGGAGUUGUCCGAUAGGUCCAUAAGACAAGGUAUAGCUCUUCUACCCAAAAGUCUUUGACUUCAUUCAGUCGAGUCUUGAGACUAUGUAGGAUUGAUCGAUUUGUCACCUUUGCUUCACCGUUGGAUUAUGGAUGGACGAUAGAGGUGAGUUUGUGCGUAAUAUGAAGUUUCACAGAGAAACUCUUUGAAUUUCUGAUUACCGAAUUGUCGAUCAUUGUUGGUGAUGAUAGUAUGUGACAAUCCGAAUCUACAUAUGAUAGAUUUUUGAAUGAAGUCUUCUAUAUUUUCUUUGGUGAUUUGCGCUAAGAGUUCAGCUUCCACCUACUUGGUGAAAUAGUCCUCCACUAUGACUAAAAAUUUUCUUUAACCGAUCGCCAGAGGAAAGGGAUCGAGUAUGUCAAUUCCCUAUUGUGCGAAUGGCAAUGGUGCAAUGAUUGAUGUCAAUUGACUUGUCGGUUGAUGCUGUAUAUUGAUAUAUCUUUGACAUGCUUUGCAUCUCUGAACAAGCUCAGCUGCAUCUUUCCUCAUGAUGGGCCAGUAGUACCUCUAUUGUAGAAUUUUAUAGGCCAGUAAUUUGCCCCUCAAGUAAUUUUCGUAAAUCCCUUCGUGGAUUUCUCAGAGAGCAUAGUCGACUUCGAUAGAUCUCAGGCACUUGAGCAGUGGAAGAGAGAACGACUUUUUGUAUACUUACUCGUUCAUCAAUACAUAUUGAGAAGCCGUCCAACUUAGUCAUUUGGCUUUCAAUGAAUCUCUCGAAAGGGUACCGUCGGUUAAGUAUUGAAUGAUUGGAUCCAUCUAGCUUGAUUCAUCUUUUAUUUGAUGCACUUCAUCGAUCUUGUCGAUACUCGAUUGUUUGAGAUAUUCGACGAACGUUCCGUCGAGUAGAUUGGAAGUAGUCGCCAGUCGAGAUAGUGCAUCGACACGUAUAUUUUCACUUUUUAGAAUGUGAGAGAUCUCAAAAUAUUUGAAGAUUUGAAUGAGAUUCCUCACCUUCUUAAGGUAGUUCGUCAUGAUCGGAUCUUGGACUUCAAAUUUUUUCUUGACCUGUUCGAUGAUCAGUUGUAAGUCAGUGAAGAAUUUUAAGUUGUCUACAUCAAGCUCUCUCACAAUCUUCAAGCCGGCUAGUAAGGCUUCAUACUCGACUUGAUUAUUGGAUGCUUUGAAAUUGAACUGAAGGACGUAUUCAAUCACAGUCCCUUCGGAGUCAGUGAGGAUGAGGUCGAUCCCACUCUCUUGGGCGUUGGACGCUCCAUCAAUGUGUAGCGCCCAUACUGAUUCAGGUUCGACCUCUGGAUUCUCAAGCUGCUCCAACUUAUCAUCGAAUUUAUGAUCAGAUUUGUUGUCGCGUAUAGUACACUCGACGAUAAAAUCGAUCAAGAUUUGAGCCUUCAUUGAUGGUCAUGGGCAACACUAUAUGUCAAAUUCACUGAGUUUGAUCGUCUAUUUUGCCAUCCGAUCAAAAGUAUCUGAUCGAUGUAAGAUCGCCUUCAAAGACUGGUCCGUCAAGAUGAUUAUUAAGUGUACUUGAAGGUAUGAUCAAAAUUGUUGAGCCAAUAUAAUCAGAGCGUAGAUCAUCUUCUCCACCUUCGAAUAUCUUGUCUCGACGUUGUGGAGUACCUUGCUGGCGUAGUAGAUUGACCGUUGAAUUUGAUUUUCAUCCUCCCGAAUAAGAACCAAACUAACUGCUUCCGAAAAAAUUGCUAAGUAAAGAUACAGCGUUUCUCCCUCCUUUCAUUUUGUUAGUGGGGGAGCCAUCAAAUACUUUUUCAAAUCUUCAAAGAAUUGUUGGCAUUCAUCCGACCAUGAGAAGUCCGUCGUUUGUUGCAAGAUCUUGAAGAAAGAUAGACACCUUUCUGCUGACUUCGAAAUGAAUCGACUAAGUGCAGCAAUCCUUUCGUUUAGUUGUUGUAUCUCCUUCUUGAAGCUGGGAUGCUUCAUGUCGAUAAUGGUCUUUAUUUUCUUCGAAUUGGCCUAGAUUCUUUAUUGCGACAUGAGAAAUCCGAAGAAUUUUUUGGCAGUCAUCCCGAAUAUACAUUUAGUCAGAUUCAACUUCAUCCGGUGUCAUCGAAGUGUGUCGAAGGCUUUCUUUAAGUCCCGGACAUGAUCAUGGAUCUCGACGCUUUUCACCUGCAUGUCAUCAAUGUAGACUUUCAUGUUCCGUCUAAUUUAUUGCUUGAAAACUUUAUUGACCAACUGUUGAUAGAUUGCUCUGGUAUUUUUUAAAUCGAAUGACAUCACUUUGUAGCAGUAGAUGCCCUUAUCGAUUGUGAAAGUUGUAUUCUCUUCAUCUUCAGGCACCAUUUGGAUCUGAUUAUAUCUCAAGAAUAUGUCCAUCAAGCUCAGGAGUCUGUGCCCCGAUGUUGCAUCGACUAACUGAUCAGUCUUCAAUAAAGGAAAACUGUUCUUUGGACAUCUUCAUUUAAAUUGAUAUAGUUGAUGUAAAUCCUCCACUUUCUGUUGGCUUUCCUCACCAUCACGAUGUUGGCUAGCCAAUCUGAAUAGUUGGCUUCCUUGAUGAAGCCCGCCGCGAGAAGCUUGUCCACUUCUUCAUUAAUGACCUUCUACCUCUCUGGCACAAAGGAUCUUUUCUUUUGUCUCAUCGAUUUGGCUUUUGGAUCAAUGUUCAACCGAUGAGUUAUUAUUUUUGAAAAUAUUUUUGAUAUAUCCGCUGCCGAUCAAGCAAAAACAUCGACGUUGGCUCUCCAUAGUUCUAACAUUUGCUUUCGCUCCGACUCAGAUAGCUAUAACUCGAUUUGAAUAGUUUUAAUUGGGUCAUCCUCUCUCAAUAGGAUCAAAAUCAGAAGUUCAACUGGCUUUCCUCUUUCUUCAUUAUCCAUCUGGUCUAGUUUGUCAACCGACAGAGGAUCUUCAACUUUGCUGCCUUCGACUGAAACCGUGAAGCAGCGUCGGACCAGUUGUUGAUCCUCUCGCAUCUCCCCGACUCCACUCUUUGUUGGAAAUCGGACAAGGAGAUGGUAAGUCGAAACAACCGCUCUCAACGUAUUCAGUCCCGACCGUCCGAGUAUGGCAUUAUAAGUCAAAGAAACUCGGACAACCAUGAACGUUAAGAGAAUGAUGCUUUAUCACGGGUCGAUUCCUGCAGUUAGAGGAAGAGUAAUUUCUCCCCCCACAGUGGCUGCAUUUCCAGUGAAGUCGACUAAAAACGUAGAGACUCUUCUGAGUCGGUCAGUCGGUAGUUGCAUUUGGAAGAAAGUAGAGUAGAAUAAUACAUCUGUAGAGCUUUCAUUAUCUAUUAAUUUUUUUUUUAUAUCAUAAUUUGCUAUCGUCGUCGAGAUGAUGACAGCAUCAUCAUGAGUUUGUACUCCUCGAACAUUAUCAUCUGAAAAAAAAUUACAUUAUUAUGUCGUUGCUUUUUAAACGACUCUUCUUUGAAAGUUGCCCCCCAGUCUCUCGAUCGUCCGAAAAUCAUGUUGAUGACUCCCAUUAUUGGUCGAUUGUUGUUCAUAUCCUCAGAUUGAAGUUGAGAUUGUCAAUUGGCAGAAGGUUGAGUCGGACGAUCGCAUCAAAAUUUUUUAAGAUAGCCUCGUUGAAUCAGAACUUCUAUCUCACCCCUGAGUUGAAUACACUAUUCGGUGUUAUGACUGUGCUUACGAUGGAAUCCACAGUAUUUUCUCUUGUCGCGGCUCUUUGGUGGUGCUUUCAUUAAUGGAGAGUGAUGGAGGUACUCUUCUCCCUCAAUCUUCAUUAAAAUCUGUACAUGAGCAGAGAGAGGAGUGUAGGAGUUAUACCUAUUGCCGUAAUUAUUUGACUUCGGACUCCAUAGGUGGGGUGAAGCUCCUUUGCCAUGUGAUGUCCGACUUGAUUCGAUUAGGCUCCACUUUUUUUUUUUUCUUCUGACCUUUUUCUUCUGAUUAGCAUCGAUCAGUAGCACCUUCGUCCGUGCGUAUAUAUUUAUAUGCGCACUCAAGAAGUUCAGCAUAUAUCCGAAGGAGGAUCUUAUCCAGAGAAUAUGUAGACCUAGAUCCUCUCAAACCCCUCUUCAUGACCGAGAUGGCCAUAUCUUCAUUGAGAUCUCGGACCUCAAGUGUGGCGGUGUUGAAACGCGCCACGAAGCUUCUCAGAGUCUCUCCUUCAUUCUGUUUGAUGGAAAAGAGACUGUCGGACGUUCGCGGCAUCUUCCUGCUGGUGCUGAAGUGGGUUACGAACAAUUGCUCCAACUACUCAAAGGAAUGGAUGCUUUUCGAUUGAAACCCAGAAUAUCAGGCUCGAGCAGUUUUCCAAAUUGUAGCCGGAAAGCCAAGGCAUAAGAGGGUGUUAGUUGUCCCCUAAAUCAUCAUGAGAGCCUUAUAGCUCUCUAAAUGAUCGACAGGAUCGGUGGAGCCAGCAUAAGGCUCAAUCUAUGGCAUCUUAAAUCGAGUCGAAAUCGAUUCAUCUAAGUUGCGUUGGGAGAAGGAUGUAGCAGUGUGGAUGCCAAAGUCGUUGAAGGACACUAGGCCAUCCAUCUGAAGUUGGACGAAUCGACAGUCGAUUUUUCUAAAUUUACGUUCAUAGACAUCAAGCCAUCAUUGUUGGGAGAAUGCAGGGGUAGAAUCUCUCGAAGAACUAGAUGAGGAAGUUGAGGGCGUGCGUAGGCUCUUUCCCUUCUUGUCACUAUGGUGGCAAGAGGGGGAAGGGGACCAUCGCUGUCGUCGAGUGGUAUGAUGGGAGUGCCAGGAAGAUGGUAGCUCGACAUAAUGGAAAUGUCGAGCUAGUCGUCAUUUCGGAGAUGGAGAAGGAGAUCGUCGAGGGGUGCGAUGACUGUGCCUGGACGGCACUAUACGCGGUGCUGGCUCUUCCACCACCAGUUGCUGUUGCUGUGUUUGCUGCUGCUGGAGGCGGUGUACUGCCUCCAUCAGUAUUUUCAUCUUCUGUAUUAAAGUAGCGAGUUGUUGUAUGUCUGUUGUAACAACUGGAUGCGAAGAACUAGACUCUGCCAUUGGAGGUGGAGAUAGGAGAUCUUCUCAACGAGAAGAUUGCCUGACGGAGUCGAUGGAGUUGUUUUGGGCUCUUGUCUUUGCCAUGACUGGAUUCGUUCUCGCCACCUCUUUUUGGCACGCCCAUCUAUUAUUGUCAAUCCUUGAGUGCGCUUGAGUCCGACGACAAGCAACCUGCAAAACAAAUCCACACUGAUCGGAGUUGUAUCCGAUGGGGAUCCUCCGAUGCUUAAGUCAGCGAAAAGUGAUGAAUAGAAUAGUUGAAAAUAGAUUUCGACAGAAUAUUAACCCAGAAAUGUCUUAUCCUCAUCGUUCCCUUAUCUUUCCUUUACAUAGGCAAUCUGGGUGUAAUUAUCUAUGACGGUUAGGCACGUGGGAUCUCACUUAUCCCGACAUUAUGUGAUUAUGGGGUGGACAGUUCAUGCCCACCAAUAAUCGUGGUAAGUAGCCGUUACGUGCUCUUUGCACUGAUGAUUUUUGAUAUAUCGACUAUGUAUCAGUGAUGUGGGCAUAUCGACUGUAUGUCUGUGUUUGUAAUAUGCUGACUGACCAUCGAUUUAUGAUUGAUAUUCCGAUUGACCAUCGGUUAUGUCGAUCGAGUCAUUAUGGUUGACUUAAAAUCGCCAGAAAAGUCGAUUGGGAACUACCAACUGUCUAUCGGUGUACCAACCGAUAGUUGGAUGCCCGUAUCCAUGAUGCUGAUAGAAAGUCGGACGAUGAGCCUUGUAGAUAUUGUAGUUGAAACAAAACUCAUUUGACGGUCUGGUUUUGAUGGUUCAUCACCAGACAGCAUCACAUAGUCAGGAGGUCGACCAUAAAUCGGGGGAAGCAGGACCGGUUGUCCCAACAAAAAGAAUUGCAAGGAAUUUAGUCAUAUCGCUUCACCAAUCUAGUGUGUUUUUUCACUUUCGGAUUCUAAGGGGUGAUUAGUGGUGCUCCAAACACAUUCGAAUUGCAAAAUUUAUAAGCUUUCUCUAUCCUUUGGUGGAUUUUUACUUUCCCUCCUUAUUUUUUUGCAACCGUGUAUCUCAAUCAUUUGGCAAUAUCAAAUUAAUUAGCUGGUUGGGCAUCCAAAUUUAGUUCCAAAAGGUAAGUAAAUAAUUCAGCAGCUAAGCUUUUAUUCUGCAAUUAUAUAACAAACAAGAAUAAGUACCUUCAUGAAAAUAGCAUCACCUGCUGGAAUGGCUUUGAACAUGUCACCACCAACAUGAGUCAUACCUGCACCACCACAAGCACCUUGUUGCAAUCAGCAUGGAGCAAGCCAUGCUUGUUAAGGAAAAAGAGAGAGAGAGAGAGAGAGAGAGAGAGAGAGAGAGAAUAAUAACUAANNNNNNNNNNNNNNNNNNNNNNNNNNNNNNNNNNNNNNNNNNNNNNNNNNAUUAACACCCAAUAAUUUGAAAACUUAUGCUUAUCCUCCCGAGAUUUAUUUGUAUCUAACACUUUAAUGCAUAACUUAAUAGAAUAUUAGUUAAACUGUCAAUCUUAAAUGGCAUACAAAUGACAUAUCAAAAAAAAAAAAACCAAAAAUAACCUCAAGUGACAUAACAAUCAUCCAAGGAUGGAAACAUAUAUAUCCUUCUUCUUACUCAAGGGCAAUUUUGACUUUUCAUAUGAGAUAAAGGGUUCGCUAAUGUCAUUAGUUUAACUAGGUGCAAGCACAUAUUUUACAAAUUCUUGGGUUUAAGUAUAAUAAACAUAAACCUCAUGAGGUUUUUUUAUAAUUUGUUCAAAAAAAAAAGAGGAGAAAAUGGAAGUUAUGAAGCUCCAAACAACAAGUCAUCAUUUGAUGGAUUCUACAAGGCAUUUAAUCCAGCUUAAUUAAAUUUAAAGCAAGGAGAAUGAGUUUUACUCCCACUAGCUAAGCCUUUUUCUUCGAUAAUUUCAAUAUCAGAAGUGUCUAGCCAAUAAGAAUUUUGCUAUUCUUCUAGGGUGCACACCGUCCAUGAAAACUUAGUCCCAGAUCUUAAAGUGUCCUACAACUCCAUUAGUAGCCCAUCUAUAAAAUUAAAUUUAAAAAGAAGCAAAAAUGUAAAACUCUAGCCCUUCUUUGUUCUCCCUUGUCUCUGACAUCACUAAUCUUUGCACUUUCACCCCAAUCCCCUUCAUCUCUGAACUAUAAAGCCUAGAGCCAAUAAAAAAUGCUGACAGAUAUUUUAAUUGGGUGAUGAUAAAGCAUUGGGGAUGAGAAAGAGGCACAAACCAUCCUCACAAGAAAAUAAUGGAUAACAUAGUGAACAUAUUUAGUUAGAGGGAGUUGAACUUUGGAAUGGAAAUAGGGUCAUAUAUGAGAAUGAGUGAUUCUCAUUCUAACUGUUUGGUUGGGAGGAAUCUCAUUCUCAUUUUGAUUUCAGAUUUCAGGAGAGAAUGAAAAAGCAUGGAUUUUCUGCGAUGCUACAUGUGUACUGCAGUGUGCAGUGCACCUGUGGAUGCCAUCCAUCAUAGCAUGGACGGUUGCGCACAAUGUGCAUCACAUGUUUCCCGCUCAUGUGUGGCCAUCCAUCCUAUGAUGGACAGCAUCCAUGGAUGCACCGCACCUAGUAGUGCCGCACAUGCGCCACAGGAGAUCUACCCUCGUGAAUGGAAAUGCCCCAAACCCCUCAAACCCAGUGGCUUACUCUUAGCACUCCAUUGAUUCAUGUCAGGAAACAAACAUGAAGGAUAUCACCACGCUGACUCCAAUUCCAGUCAUGAAAAAAAAACGUGCCAUAUUGACUCCAUAAACCGUCAUUGGGGUGCAUCAGGAGACUGAUUUUUCGCGCGUCGCAAGGGAGGGGCCCGGAACUGGAUCUUCGGUGCGUGCGGGCUGAGGACUGCACCAUCUAUGUAAAUAGCCCCGUCAAGCCAAUGCAAGGAAAAAAAAAAAAAUCAUAUCCCAAAUGGGCCAGCAAAUUUAAAUUUUCGCAAAAAGCUAUGCUCUAGCUUCUUCCUAUAUGGCGGCUCACCUAUUUCCUGUUAAUCUGACACUCCAUGUCCAAAACUGGACUUGCAAAUCUUGUUAAUCUUUAUUUGUUAUUUGUAAAUCUGUAUAAUUAAGAAAAAGCAAAAACAUGGAAUCACAGCUACCUAUCUUAACUAGAAGAUGGUAUAAAUCAUUCACCUAAUACUACCUCUGUUACAAAUUAUGCUUCUACAACUGGAGUAAAACUAUUGAGUUGCCCAGAGUUGGCAUCGCACCUUUCAUACAGCAAGCCUUAGUAUGGACUUUGGAUGGUACUUUUUCUUGCACUAUAAUCAAAAGAAUAACGGGAUAAGAUUAAUCCACCCUAUCCUCAAAAAUAACUAAGUAAAUAAAUAAUGGAUCUGCUAGAGUGCAACUAGGCGCCGAUCAAUUAUACUGAUAGUUGUUGGCCACGUGAUGCUUUUUUUUUUUAAAGGUAGAGGGUCGGUAGCACGCGUACUAUCUUUAUCGGAUGUCUUUAAUGAUCGGCCUAAUUUCCGUGCCAGAAUUCAGAGCCCAACCAUAGAAUUCGUUACAAGUGUGCGAACCGCAUCCACGCCGUAUCUUCCAUGCAGUCGUCGCCGGAGGCGCUCUCGUCUUAACUACCGAGGCUACUUACCAUACACUGAGAUAUGUAUGAUUCGUGCCAUGCCUCUCAUCAGUUUCUAUCCUCGGCGUUCCGCGCCCACACGAAACGCAAAGUGGACGUGUAUACGCUUAUCACUCGCAUUCAAAUGUACACGUUAGCAAUAGAUGGUAGUGUCACUAAAAUACGCCGAUGGGUUUGCUACUCACCGGGGUACUUGGGCGCCUUGGCGACCACCUCCGGUAGGUCGAAGUUGACGCCGCGUUGUACGGUCGGGACGCGCUGCAUGAUGGCCCGGAGGCAGUCGCCAGAGCUUCCGCCGACGUCGACGACGGUGCGGACUCCAGCGAAGGCGGCGGCGUGGCCGUUGAGGAACGCGUCCAUGAAGGGCUUGGAGACUCCCCACAUGGCCCGCUGCAUGAGCUCGUUCGCCUCUCCGUCGCCACCGUAGUAGGCGUACGCCGGCGUCCCGCCGUUGGCCCGCGCAAAUGGCUCCGGCCCAGCCGGGUCCAGCACCGCCUCGUGGAGCCGCGGCCACGCCCGAACCAACGCAUCCUGAUGGUGCUGCAGGACGUACGCUGCAUAGGAUGGUCCAUCUUCGCCGCCGCCGUUGGAGGACGCGGCGGAGACGAGGGUCUGGCCGACGGGGGUGAGGGAGAAUCGGCGGACGCCUGAGGGGGAGAGGUGCUCGGUGAAGACGCCGUGGCUGGCGAGGAGGCGAAGGAGGCGCUGGAGGUUGCCGGGGUCGGUGGAGGGGGGCGGUGGGGGGCGGAGGAGGGGGAGGAUCUCGGCGGCGGAGAGGGGGGAGUUGGUGCCGGACUGCCAGAUGGCGGCGGGGACGUUGAGGCGGACGACGGCGUGGAGGGACAUGGGGACGGCGAUCAUGUUCGAGAGCUCCAUCAUCGCCAGAUUGGCCUUCUUCUGGACCUCCACCGGGUCUUCUCCGCCACCUCCCGCCGCCGCCAUCGAAGCCCGCGUCCUCGUUCCGUAGAGAAGACGCCGCCUCUUUCCCCAAUCGCGAUUAGAGUCGUCGCCCACAAUGGAUUCGGGAUCUACGGUGUGGGAUGCGGCCAUUUAAAAAAGACGGGUCCAGGCCGGGUCGAAUAUGUUCAAGCCUAUUCUCCUUUCCAUUCAAAAAUAAUUUUGACUUUUCAUAUGACAUAAAUGGUUCUACAAACACUGUUAAUUUAAUUAAAAAUAAAUAUAGAUUUUACAAAUUUUUUGAUAUGGGUGUAAUAAACAUGAUGGGGAGAUUUUUGUAAUUUAUCUUAUGACACACGCACGCGCACACAGACACACACAUACAUUUAUUCCAAGGAAGAAUUAUACUAGAAACAGAGGUUCCAACUAAUUCUUUAUUAGAAGGUGAUAACAAAUCUAACUUCUUCCAUAAACUUGCCUCCGGGAGGAAGAGGGAAAAUUUCAUGUGAUGAAGGUGUUGAAUAUAAUUACCAGGACAUCCCAAACAGGUUCAUCAUCUACGACAGUCACUUAUUCUCCUCGGCCAAUGAAAGUUGCCUACAGAUGAGACCUAUAUGGUGGCCCGGUUAUUGAUUUAUCUUGAGUGGUGUGUUUUUUUUACCUUUGAAGAAUUUAGAACUACUAUUCUCUCUGAAACAUAAGGUACAAACACAAGUCUCUGCAAACAGAAAGAAAGAUAACAAGAGGCGGAGUAGAAGAUGGAAAAGCAUGCGACCUACUGGAACAUAUAUAAGAUUCCAACAUAUGUAAGUUCUCUCAUAGACAGCUUCUUUCUUCUAUCAAGCAUUACUUCUGGAAUUCAAGGACAGUGUAGAAAUGGUCCAAAUAGAAUGCUCUCAAGUCAGAGAAUCCGACCGAGAGGCCUAGCCGCCGGAACUCUUCCUCGGUGCGUCCUCUCCCCCGAACUCAGUAAAUUAAUAUGACAAAGAUGUCAGUCUCUAGCAGGGCCCGAGUUCUCUGGCUGUUGUCAGUCUCCUCCGGCAGACCUUCCCCACUUCUGGCUAGGCGUCCUGGCAGUUCUUUAGCAUCAGCAUGUACUCGUCAUCAUUCCAUGUUAUCAGUACUAGGGAUGUAAGUUUGAUCCAAUUGUUUGAUUAUUGAAUCGAAUCAAAUAAGAUAAAUCGGUG
rnacentral:lncRNA from 1 species